UAUUGUGGACCAUAGGAUGAAAGUAAGCCUAAAAAGGAAAAAACCCUAAAAGAGACUCAUUCUCUCCAUCAGCCAUCAGACAUCAAUCCUCUCCAAGACUCCAAAGCCGCCACGACUCAAAGCUUCAGCCUUCAGGUAAGCUUCAAGAGUACAAGACUGUCGACUCUCACUCUCAUUCUUGUAGUUCAAAGUGGCAAAGCCGCUUCGGAUCACCUACCUCGCGGUCUCAGCUCGCGGCUCCAGCGUCGGCUUCAAUGCUUCAGGUACAAAAAGAUGGAAGAAAAUCUUCGUUGUAGUACUGCAUCAGCUCCUACUCCUAGGACAACUGAUUUUUUCACUCGAAUCACUCCUACUAAUGAGGAUUACCCAUGUAUGCCAGCUAGUUUGUGGAAAAAGAGAAGGAAAAAGAUAAGGAAGAGAAAAAGAAACAGAAAGAAAUUGAGAAACGGGAUAAAAAAGAUGGUUGUGUGGAUGUAGGACCUUCUCAACCUAAGUGUCGGAAAACUACAUCCGUAGUUUGGAAUGAUUUUGAAAGGGUAGUUCAUGCUGAUAAUAGGGUGACAGCCACAUGCAAAUAUUGUAAAAGGGUUUUUAAUAGUGCAAGUACCAUAGGCACAACUCAUUUGAAUAUCCAUAGAAAAACUUAUUAUAGAAGGACUCUGAGAGACAUUGGCCAGCAACUUUUAUCACUAACAAUGAGUCCUUUUGAGUCACCUAAGUUGGCAAACUACAAGUGUGAUGCUGAGCUUACCAGAAAGAGUUUUGCUCAGAUGAUUGCCAAGCAUGGCUAUCCGUUCAACAUGGCUGAGCAUGAAUAUUUUUAGAUGUAUGCAAGUAGUUUGAAUCACUUGGAUAAAUUCUAUUCAAGAAAUACAGUGAGGAAGGAUGUAAUAGAUGUAUUUUAAGAGGAGAAAGAGAAAUUAUAUGCAACUUUGGAUAAAUUGUCUUCUAGUGUCAGUUUUACUACAGAUUUGUGGACAGCAGAUCAUCAGAACCUUGGGUAUUGUGUUCUUACAUGCCAUUACAUAGAUGGGGAAUGGAACUUGAAGAAGAAGAUUCUUUCUUAUAAGAUGCUUCCAUCACCCCAUACUGAAGAGGCUGUUAGUGAGCACAUCAAAACCCAACUUUUGGAAUGAAAUGUAGAUAAGAAAGUUUGUUCCAUUGCAGUGGAUAAUGCAUCCACCAAUGAUGUUAUGACCAAUCAUCUAAAGCAAUGGAUAGGUCGUAAAGGAGCUUUGUUACAUAGGGGUCAGUUUUUUCAUGUACGUUGUAUGGCACAUAUUUUAAAUCUUAUUAUUCAAGAUGGAUUGGUGGAACUAAGAGAUGCAUUAGGAAAGAUUCGGAAAAUGGUUAAGUGGGUGAAUUCAUCACCGUCCAGAUUUGAAAGAUGGGGGAAUGCAUUGUCUUAGUGUAGAUUGUCCAUUAAAAAAAAUCUCUUUAGAUGUUCCAAUAAUGUGGAAUUCUACUUAUGAAAUGCUCCAAAAUGCUUUGGAGUUGAGAGAAGCAUUUGAACGUUUGGCUGAACUGGAUCAAAAUUUCAAUAUAUUGCUAACUGGAGAGGAAUGAGAGAAGUGCAGAAAAAUUAUGCGGUGCUUAGCAAUUUUUUAUGAUGCCACAAAGCACAUUUCAGGAAGUAAGUAUCCUACUGCAAACUUUUUCUUUAAGGAUGUCAAUGAGAUUCAUUAUACUUUGUUUCUUUGGGAGAUGAGCAGUGAUAAUUGUAUCUGUUCUAUGGCUGUUGCCAUGAAAUUAAAGUUUAAAGAGUAUUGGAGGAACACAAGUUUGUUGAUGGUGCUUGGGGUUAUUCUUGAUCCUCGUUACAAGAUAGAGCUCAUUAUAUUUGCAAUGAAUAAGAUUUAUAGGAAUGAUUCUGAUCUAUAUGUUAUUAAGAUCCAAUUUGAUGUGGUUGACAUUUAUUCUGAAUAUGCCAGUAAAUAUGAUGAUCCAUGUGUCCUUACAUCUAGUGAUUGCUCUGAUCGUGUUAGUGGUGAUGUGAAGGAUUCUUGUGAUCAAAGUUCUGACUCAAAAGUUGGUUCACUCCAGUGGGGUAGUGAGUUCAAGGUAUUCGCAAGACAUCGUAUUGGAGGUUCUAAGAAAGGCAAAAUGACUGAAUUGGAUUUGUAUCUAGAUGAGAGUUUAUUUCUCAUUGAAGAGAACGAGGAUGAGAAUGACUUUGAUAUUUUCCAAUGAUGGAAAAACUAUGGUUGCAAGUUUUCAAUUUUUUCUACAAUGGCUCGAGAUAUCUUGUUACUUUCAGAGAUUGUGGAAGCUCUAAUUUGCUUGAAAGAUUGGUUGCCAUUAUUUAAAUCUGUUUUCACUGUGGAUGAAUGAGCAUGAAUGUGAAUUUUGGAGUAGUUUUGGAUGUUGGUGGAAACAAUCUUCUCACAUUUUGAGGUGAAGCCAUCUCUGGUGGGAACAUGCUGAUGGAUGUUUCGUAUUUCGGCGUCCCCAUCCACAAGGAGACCAUGACCUUUGUGGAGAAACAUCAUGCCCUGUUUCACUUGGCAUUGUCAUCCUCUUUUGGGUCGGAAAGAAGAUUAGUUGAGUUCAGUUGGUCAGGAUGGAUUUAUGUAGUUAUUGGAGUACCAAGUGUUUAUUUUUUUAAGAUAAAUCUACACUCUAUGUCUCAUAUCUUCUCAACAUUUGAACCAAAAACAAAUUUUGAUUAGGCUCUUAAAGUUGGCUUUUGUUGUGAUUCUAGGCUAUGUGAUUCUAAACUAAAUUGCUUAAAUUGAUUUAUGUAUUUAUUGCGA